UACGGAGGGGGCUAGCGUUGUUCGGAAUUACUGGGCGUAAAGCGCACGUAGGCGGCUUUGUAAGUUAGAGGUGAAAGCCCAGGGCUCAACCCUGGAAUUGCCUUUAAGACUGCAUCGCUUGAACAUCGGAGAGGUAAGUGGAAUUCCGAGUGUAGAGGUGAAAUUCGUAGAUAUUCGGAAGAACACCAGUGGCGAAGGCGACUACCGGACGAUUGUUGACGCUGAGGUGCGAAAGCGUGGGGAGCAAACAGG
rnacentral:rRNA from 1 species